ACAUUUAUUUGGCUAAAUUCUAACGUGAAAUGACAACGUUAAUCCCAGUCUUCGAUUCUCUGUAUUUUGUAGAGGGCUGCCAACAACCAAAUUCAAAUUCACAAGCUUGAUUUGAGUAACAUGAAGUUUGCUUUGCAAUACAUCUCGUGAAAUGUGACACUAAUGUUACGAUUAUAACGUUACAAACUACCUCUGAAUGAAUACAACAGAUAGUUUUACCUGUAACUUUAAGGCACCAGUUAAAUGAGUUUAUGCUCCUGUGACGUUUCUGAGCAAAGGGAUCCUUUUGGUUUUCAAGACGUCUGUGGGUGGCCCAGUCUCAACAAAAUCGGCUUCUGUGAGCACUGAAUCUAUGCCAAUGGAACGUCUGUCCACACCUUUGGCAAGUUCCACUGCACAAACGGACAUUUCAACAUCUUCACUCCAACAGAACGCCACUGACUCUAACCCACAGUCUUCAAGUGAGGCUCAGUUCCCUGUUUUUUUGUUAGGUGUGGCAGUGGGAACCAUUAGUGGAGCGGCAGCUGUAGGUGGAAUGAUUUUUGCAGGAGUAAAGUUGAGUGGAAGACUGGAUGGUUAGGAAAAGGUCUGAUACCGCUGAUGCAGAAUGCAGACUCUAUAGUGGCAUAAAACAUAUUUUAAUGGAGCAAAAGGCAUCUCAGGUUGAUAUGUGCCCAUUGACAGUUCUGGUUCACAUUUCUUCAGCAUAUUGAGCAAAGCUGGCAAAUAGCUAUCUUUCAGUUGAACAAACCUUAGUUUUCAUGGCAUCAUUAAAGCAACAUAAGAAGUGCUAUUUACCCCUUGUUGUCACUUUUGAACAUACAGUACUUAUCCCUUUAGCAUCAGUUUUGCAAUGUGCAAGGUUCCCUGAAAGUUGGAAUAUGAUCUUAAAGGGGUACCCUCAGCACCGAAAAGUGUCAAAAAGGAUCACUUCUCCACCACUGUCCACACCAGGCAUCCCAGGUGCGCAAUAACAAUGACAGGCACUAUUCUUCU